rnacentral:rRNA from 1 species
UAAGACCACAGUACUGCGUGGUACAGUGGUAAAAACUCCGGUGGUAUGAGAUGGACCCGCGUCUGAUUAGGUAGUUGGUGAGGUAACGGCCCACCAAGCCGACGAUCAGUAGCCGACCUGAGAGGGUGACCGGCCACAUUGGGACUGAGACACGGCCCAGACUCCUACGGGAGGCAGCAGUGGGGAAUAUUGCACAAUGGGCGCAAGCCUGAUGCAGCGACGCCGCGUGCGGGAUGGAGGCCUUCGGGUUGUAAACCGCUUUUGAUCGGGAGCAAGCCCUUCGGGGUGAGUGUACCCUUCGAAUAAGCACCGGCUAACUACGUGCCAGCAGCCGCGGUAAUACGUAGGGUGCAAGCGUUAUCCGGAAUUAUUGGGCGUAAAGGGCUCGUAGGCGGUUCGUCGCGUCCGGUGUGAAAGCCCAUCGCUUAACGGUGGGUCUGCGCCGGGUGCGGGCGGGCUGGAGUGCGGUAGGGGAGACUGGAAUUCCCGGUGUAACGGUGGAAUGUGUAGAUAUCGGGAAGAACACCAAUGGCGAAGGCAGGUCUCUGGGCCGUCACUGACGCUGAGGAGCGAAAGCGUGGGGAGCGAACAGGAUUAGAUACCCUGGUAGUCCACGCCGUAAACGGUGGAUGCUGGAUGUGGGGCCCGUUCCACGGGUUCCGUGUCGGAGCUAACGCGUUAAGCAUCCCGCCUGGGGAGUACGGCCGCAAGGCUAAAACUCAAAGAAAUUGACGGGGGCCCGCACAAGCGGCGGAGCAUGCGGAUUGAUUCGAUGCAACGCGAAGAACCUUACCUGGGCUUGACAUGUUCCCGACGGCCGUAGAGAUAUGGCCUCCCUUCGGGGCGGGUUCACAGGUGGUGCAUGGUCGUCGUCAGCUCGUGUCGUGAGAUGUUGGGUUAAGUCCCGCAACGAGCGCAACCCUCGCCCUGUGUUGCCAGCACGUCGUGGUGGGAACUCACGGGGGACCGCCGGGGUCAACUCGGAGGAAGGUGGGGAUGACGUCAGAUCAUCACGCCCCUUACGUCCAGGGCUUCACGCAUGCUACAAUGGCCGGUACAGCGGGAUGCGACAUGGCGACAUGGAGCGGAUCCCUGAAAACCGGUCUCAGUUCGGAUUGGAGUCUGCAACCCGACUCCAUGAAGGCGGAGUCGCUAGUAAUCGCGGAUCAGCAACGC